rnacentral:lncRNA from 1 species
UGGAUGUACAAUAUAAGAUAUUUUAAUUAGUUUGUUUAUAUCUAGGGUGUGGGUUUAAUUGCAGUAUAUUUUUUUAUAGAUUGAAAGCCAACAAACUGCUGGAGAAAGGGAAACCUGUUGUAGUUGACCUUCUUCCAAAGUUGUGAGACUACAGAGCACCAAGCUAUCAUCACUGGAAAGUGUGUCGUCUGUGUACUUCUACAAAGAGCAUGUGGAGCUCUUCUCUUGCUCUCUCGGAUUACGAGAAUUU